GACGGAGGAUGCAAGCGUUAUCCGGAAUGAUUGGGCGUAAAGCGUCCGCAGGUGGCAGUUCAAGUCUGCUGUCAAAGACCGGGGCUUAACCCCGGGCCUGCAGUGGGUACGGGCAGACUAGAGUGUGGUAGGGGAGACUGGAAUUCCUGGUGUAGCGGUGAAAUGCGCAGAUAUCAGGAAGAACACCCGUGGCGAAAGCGGCUCUCUGGAACGGUACUGACGCUGAGACGCGAAAGCGUGGGGAGCGAACAGG
rnacentral:rRNA from 1 species